ACGUAGGAUGCAAGCGUUGUCCGGAAUUAUUGGGCGUAAAGAGUUCGUAGGCGGUUACAUAAGUCUGGUGUUAAAUACUGGAGCUCAACUCCAGCAUGGCAUUGGAAACUGUGUGACUAGAGUGCGGUAGAGGUCACGGGAAUUCCUGGUGUAGCGGUGAAAUGCGUAGAUAUCAGGAGGAACACCGGUGGCGAAAGCGCGUGACUGGGCCGUAACUGACGCUGAGGAACGAAAGCCAGGGUAGCAAAAAG
rnacentral:rRNA from 1 species